rnacentral:rRNA from 1 species
AUACGGAGGACGCGAGCGUUAUCCGGAUUCAUUGGGUUUAAAGGGUGCGCAGGCGGCCGUGCAAGUCAGCGGUGAAAGCCCGGGGCUCAACCCCGGAAGUGCCGUUGAUACUGCAUGGCUGGAAUGCGGUCGAGGCGGGCGGAACGUGGCGUGUAGCGGGGGAAUGCGUAGAUAUGCCACAGAACGCCGAUAGCGGAGGCAGCUCGCCAGGCCUGCAUUGACGCUCGGGCACGAAAGCGUGGGGAUCGAACAGGAUUAGAUACCCUGGUAGUCCACGCCGUAAACGAUGGGCGCUCGUCGUCGGCGGCAGACAGUCGGCGGCCAAGCGAAAGCGAUAAGCGCCCCACCUGGGGAGUACGGUCGCAAGGCUGAAACUCAAAUGAAUUGACGGGG